rnacentral:rRNA from 1 species
UGGGGAAUAUUGCACAAUGGAGGGAACUCUGAUGCAGCGACGCCGCGUGAGUGAUGAAGGACUUCGUUUCGUAAAACUCUGUUCUAUGGGAAGAAAAGGACUGUACCAUAGGAGAAAGCUCCGGCUAAAUACGUGCCAGCAGCCGCGGUAAUACGUAUGGAGCGAGCGUUGUCCGGAAUUAUUGGGCGUAAAGGGUGCGCAGGCGGCUUUACAAGUUGGAUGUGAAAUAUUGUGGCUCAACCACAAACGUGCAUCCAAAGCUGCAAAGCUUGAGUUAAGGAGAGGUAAGUGGAAUUCCUGGUGUAGAGGUGGAAUGCGUAGAUAUCAGGAGGAAUACCGGUGGCGAAGGCGACUUACUGGACUUAAACUGACGCUCAGGCACGAAAGCGUGGGGAGCAAACAGG